rnacentral:rRNA from 1 species
CCUACGGGAGGCAGCAGUGAGGAAUAUUGGUCAAUGGACGGAAGUCUGAACCAGCCAUGCCGCGUGCAGGAAGACGGCUCUAUGAGUUGUAAACUGCUUUUGUACAAGGGUAAACCUGAAUACGUGUAUUCAGCUGAAAGUACUGUACGAAUAAGGAUCGGCUAACUCCGUGCCAGCAGCCGCGGUAAUACGGAAGGUACGGGCGUUAUCCGGAUUUAUUGGGUUUAAAGGGAGCGUAGGCCGGCCUUUAAGCGAGCCGUGAAAUUUUGUGGCUCAACCAUGAGAGUGCGGGGGGAACUGGGGACCUUGAGUGCGCGAGAGGCAGGCGGAAUUCGUGGUGUAGCGGUGAAAUGCUGAGAUAUCACGAAGAACCCCGAUUGCGAAGGCAGCCUGCCGGAGCGUUACUGACGCUGAGGCUCGAAAGCGCGGGUAUCGAACAGGAUUAGAUACCCUGGUAGUC